rnacentral:ncRNA from 1 species
UUAAAGUUUUAUUCUUGCUUAUUUAUUUACUUUUUCUUUGUAUUAUAUGUAAGUUUUGUUGAACUAAAUGUUCAUUUUGCAGUAAUUUAAUUUAAUAAUCAAGUGAUUUUGGAUUUAGUAAUUGAUUUAGUUUUGGCAUAAUUCGUGCCAGCAGCUGCGGUUAUACGAUUAAUGCAAGUAAAUAUUAUUGGUUAAAACAGUUUUUAUAUCUUUUUAGAAUUAAAUUAUAAAUUUUUAAGGUGAAAUAUUAAAAUUUUUUUAAUAAUUCUUUUUAUUAAUCUGUGAAAUUUAAAUAGUAAACUAGGAUUAGAUACCCUAUUAUUUUAAAUGUUAAUUAUGUUUACCUGGGUAGUAUUAGUUAAGGUCUUUAAACCCAAAGAAUUUGGCGGUAUCUCAUACCAUUCAGAGGAACCUACCCCAUAAUUGAUAAUGCACGAUUAACUCAACUUAAUUUAUUUGUUUGUAUAUCUCCGUUAAUUAGAGGAUCUUUUUAGAGUUAUAAUUCUCUUGAUUUAUAAUUAUAAAGUAUUUCAGGUCAAGGUGCAGCUAAUAAUUAAGAGGAGGCGGGUUACAAUAGAUUUUUGUUUAUAAUGGAUUUUAUAUUUAAAAUUAUAAGUGAAGGUGGAUUUGAUAGUAAUUUAAUAAAUUAAAUUAAUUGAUAUUGGCUCUGAGAUGUGUACACAUCGCCCGUCGCUCUCAUUAUUGAUAUUUAUCCUUUAUUUUGCUUAUUUUUUAAAGGUAGCUUUCAAGCUAGAUGAGAUAAGUCGUAACAAAGUAGAUGUACUGGAAAGUGCAUCUGGAAAUAU